GAUGGAUAUGCAUCGUGUGCUCGGGAGGCACGUCGCCGUCGACAAGAAAUCUGUAUGGGAAAGCGACCUGUUGACUGUACUCAGGGUGUAUAUUCGUUUACUUCCUCCAAUGGUGUACCAUCACUUCCAAUUUCUGAUUCUCAUUUUGGCCAAUUGAAUGACAGUGAUGGUGUUGAGAUUGGUGUCCAGGUGGUUGAGACAGUUGGUUG